rnacentral:rRNA from 1 species
AUUGAACGCUGGCGGCAUGCCUUACACAUGCAAGUCGAACGGUAACGCGGGGCAACCUGGCGACGAGUGGCGAACGGGUGAGUAAUAUAUCGGAACGUGCCCAGUAGUGGGGGAUAGCCCGGCGAAAGCCGGAUUAAUACCGCAUGAGACCUGAGGGUGAAAGCGGGGGAUCGCAAGACCUCGCGCUAUUGGAGCGGCCGAUAUCAGAUUAGGUAGUUGGUGGGGUAAAGGCUUACCAAGCCGACGAUCUGUAGCUGGUCUGAGAGGACGACCAGCCACACUGGGACUGAGACACGGCCCAGACUCCUACGGGAGGCAGCAGUGGGGAAUUUUGGACAAUGGGCGCAAGCCUGAUCCAGCCAUGCCGCGUGCGGGAAGAAGGCCUUC